rnacentral:rRNA from 1 species
UACAGAGGGUGCAAGCGUUAAUCGGAAUUACUGGGCGUAAAGCGUGCGUAGACGGUUACAUAAGUCGGGUGUGAAAGCCCCGGGCUCAACCUGGGAAUUGCAUUCGAGACUGCGUAGCUAGGGUGCGGAAGAGGGAAGCGGAAUUUCCGGUGUAGCGGUGAAAUGCGUAGAUAUCAGGAGGAACACCUGUGGUGUAGACAGCUUACUGGACCAUUUCUGACGCUGAGACACGAAAGCGUGGGUAGCAAACAGG